rnacentral:rRNA from 1 species
CCUACGGGAGGCAGCAGUGAGGAAUAUUGGUCAAUGGGCGAGAGCCUGAACCAGCCAAGUCGCGUGAGGGAGUACUGCCCUAUGGGUUGUAAACCUCUUUUGUCGGGGAGCAAAAGCCGGACGUGUCCGGCUGUGAGAGUACCCGAAGAAAAAGCAUCGGCUAACUCCGUGCCAGCAGCCGCGGUAAUACGGAGGAUGCGAGCGUUAUCCGGGUUUAUUGGGUUAAAAGGGUGCGCAGGCGGAUUUUUAAGUCAGCGGUAAAAUCGUGGGGCUCAACCCCAUCCAGCCGUUGAAACUGGGGAUCUAGAGUGUGCGAGAGGUAUGCGGAAUGCGUGGUGUAGCGGUGAAAUGCAUAGAUAUCACGCAGAACCCCGAUGGCGAAGGCAGCAUACCGGUGCACAACUGACGCUCAGGCACGAAAGCGUGGGUAUCGAACAGGAUUAGAUACCCUGGUAGUC